rnacentral:tRNA from 1 species
GGGGAUUUAGCUCAGUGGUAGAGCACUUACUUGCUUAGCAAGCGCAAAGCCCUGGGUUCGGUCCCCAGCUCCG